rnacentral:rRNA from 1 species
UACGUAGGGUGCAAGCGUUAAUCGGAAUUACUGGGCGUAAAGCGUGCGCAGGCGGUUAUGUAAGACAGAUGUGAAAUGCCCGGGCUUAACCUGGGAACUGCAUUUGUGACUGCAUGGCUAGAAUCUGGCAGAGGGGGGUAGAAUUCCACGUGUAGCAGUGAAAUGCGUAGAUAUGUGGAGGAACACCGAUGGCGAAGGCAGGUCUCUGGGCAUUAACUGACGCUGAGGAGCGAAAGCAUGGGGAGCGAACAGG